GAUAAGAUGGCCGAAAUAAAGGCAUUAAUCUGUAAAAUUAAAUUAUGAAUUUAGACAUUCUCUUAUCA
rnacentral:tRNA from 1 species